rnacentral:rRNA from 1 species
AAAGGUACUCAAGGGCACACAAUGGAUGCCUAGACGUAUAUUACCGAUGAAGGACGUGGAAGACUGCGAUAAGCUUCGGGUAGCUGUCAACAAGCUUUGAUCCGGAGAUUUCCGAAUGGGGAAACCCAGCACGAGUCAUGUCGUGUUGCUCUCAACUGAAUACAUAGGUUGUGUAGUGGGAACCACCUGAACUGAAACAUCUUAGUAGGGUGAGGAAGAGAAAAUAAAUAAUGAUUCUGGGAGUAGUGGCGAGCGAAACUGGAAGAGCCCAAACCUUUUAAGUUUCUACUUUGUAGAUAAGCUGAUAGGCGAAUACUUAAUAAGGGGUUGUGAAAUUACAUAAGACCAAGUCAGAAUGCUUAACUUUGUUGAGUAGUCUGACUUGCGAUAAAAGACUAUCAACUUUUAGUAAGGUAAGAAAUUUGCGUGGUUAGCAGAAUAGUUUGAAUGACUAGCCAAAGAGCGUGAAAGCCGUGUACGCGAAAACGACGCAGACCUUAUAUAUGUUUUUUCGAGUAGGACGGGGCACGAGAAACCCUGUUUGAAUCCGGCUGGACCACCAGCCAAGGCUAAAUAUAAUAUACGAUCGAUAGUGAACUAGUACAGCGAUGGAAAGGUGAAAAGAACCCCGGGAGGGGAGUGAAAUAGAACCUGAAAUUGUGUGCCUACAAGGAGUCGGAGCAGUAUUUAUACUGUGACGGCGUGCUUUUUGUAGAACGAUCCAGCGAGUUAAUUUCAUGCGCCAGGUUAAGUCAAGUGACGGAGCCACAGUGAAAGCGAGCCUGAAUAGGGCGAUAAGUGCAUGGGAUUAGACCCGAAACCGGGUGACCUAACCAUGAGCAGGUUGAAGCUGCGGUAACACGCAGUGGAGGACCGAACCAGGGUACGCAGUAAAGUGCUUGGAUGACUUGUGGUUAGCGGUGAAAUGCCAAUCGAACUCGGAGAUAGCUGGUUCUCCUCGAAAUAGCUUUAGGGCUAGCGUCAUGUUAGUAAUGUAUGGGGGUAGAGCUCUGUAAAGGAUUGGGGCGGGCAACUGUACCCACCCUUAACAAACUACGAAUACCAUAUAUGUAAUCAUGGCAGUUAGAACAUCGGUGCUAAGAUCGGUGCUCAAAAGGGAAACAGCCCAGACCAUCAUCUAAGGUCCCUAAAUAUACAUUAAGUGGGAAACAAGGUGAAAUUUCUUAAACAGCGAGGAUGUUGGCUUAGAAGCAGCCAUUCAUUUAAAGAGUGCGUAACAGCUCACUCGUCAAGAGAUUUUGCGUGGAAAAUGUAACGGGGCUAAAGUGUUAUACCGAAGAUAUGGAUUUCGUUAUUCCUACGGGUUUAACGGAGUGGUAGAGGAGCGUUCCUAUCGGCGGUGAAGCUCAAUCGUAAGGUUGGGUGGAGCGUUAGGAAGUGAGAAUGCUGGAAUGAGUAACCAUAAGAAAGGUGAGAAUCCUUUCGGCUGUAAGAGCGAGGUUUCCAGGGCUACUGUAAUAAUCCCUGGGUUAGUCGGGCCUAAGCCGAGGCGUAGCAGCGUAGGCGAUGGACAUCAGGUUAAUAUUCCUGAACCGGUUAUAAUUUGUAUACUGUGUACGGUAAAUUAGUCGAAGCGGAUUAUUGGUAUAUAUCCGUCCAACUUAGCGGGAACGCAAAAGGAGUGAAAGUUAAUCUACGGAUUAACGAUUUUGAUGAAAGUACUGGCUAGAAAAGCAGAUAUACGCGUGGUUAUAGCCGCCCGUACCGCAAACCAACACAGGUGCUCGAGUCGAGUAGACUCAGGCUUACGAGAGACCCUUCGCUAAGGAACUCGGCAAAACAGCGACCGUAACUUCGGGAUAAGGUCUGCCUCCGCAUCAUUCGAUGCGAGUCGUGUUUCAAGCAAUUAGGUUAAGAUUAAUGGUAUAUAUGAGUAUCUUAAACUUCUUUACCGAGAUAGAACAAGUCAAAUGGCUUAGCUUGGAACGUGGCAAACUCGUAUCAAACGAUGCGGAGGCCGCAGCAAAAGAGCCCACGGAACUGUUUACCAAAAACACAGGUCUCUGCGAACACGAAAGUGGAUGUAUAGGGGCUGACUCCUGCCCAGUGCUGGAAGGUUAAGGGGAGCGCUUUACGGUGCGAACUGAAGCCCCAGUGAACGGCGGCGGUAACUAUAACCGUCCUAAGGUAGCGAAAUUCCUUGUCAGGU